rnacentral:rRNA from 1 species
CAGGACGAACGCUGGCGGCGUGCUUAACACAUGCAAGUCGAGCGAUGAAAUUCUCUUCGGAGAAUGGAUUAGCGGCGGACGGGUGAGUAACACGUGGGUAACCUGCCUUAUAGUGGGGGAUAGCCUUUCGAAAGGAAGAUUAAUACCGCAUAAUAUUGUAGUUUCGCAUGAAACAACAAUUAAAGAUUUAUCGCUAUAAGAUGGACCCGCGGCGCAUUAGCCAGUUGGCAGGGUAACGGCCUACCAAAGCGACGAUCAGUAGCCGACCUGAGAGGGUGACCGGCCACAUUGGGACUGAGACACGGCCCAAACUCCUACGGGAGGCAGCAGUGGGGGAUAUUGCACAAUGGAGGAAACUCUGAUGCAGCGACGCCGCGUGAGUGAAGAAGUAUUUCGGUAUGUAAAGCUCUAUCAGCAGGGAAGAUAAUGACAGUACCUGACCAAGAAGCCCCGGCUAACUACGUG